rnacentral:snRNA from 1 species
AAGAUCUAUGCUUGUUUUAGCUUUAGAGAUGGUAAUUAAGAGGGAGCUGUGUAGCAUGGCCCCUGCACAAGGAUGACACACAAAUUCGUGAAGCAUUCGUGAAGCAU